GUGUUUGCUUCAGCAGCCCAUAUAGUAAAAUUAUAAUGAUACAGAGAAGAUUAGCAUGGCCUCUGUGGAAGGAUCACACGUGAAUUCUUGAAGUGUUCUAUAUAUAU
ensembl:snRNA U6 U6 spliceosomal RNA